rnacentral:tRNA from 1 species
GUGGGGGUCGCCAAGUCUGGUCAAAGGCGCAAGGCUCAGGACCUUGUCUCUUAGUGAGUUCGAGGGUUCAAAUCCCUCCCCCCACA